rnacentral:rRNA from 1 species
UGAACGCUAGCGGCAGGCUUAACACAUGCAAGUCGAGGGGCAUCACGGGUAGCAAUACCUGGUGGCGACCGGCGCAAGGGUGCGUAACGCGUGAGCAACAUGCCCUAUACAGGGGGAUAAUCCAGGGAAACUUGGUCUAAUAUCCCAUAGCAUUUAGAGGUGGCAUCACCAUUAAAUUAAAGCUUCGGUGGUAUAGGAUUGGCUCGCGUGACAUUAGCUAGAUGGUGGGGUAACGGCUCACCAUGGCUAUGAUGUCUAGGGGUUCUGAGAGGAAGACCCCCACACUGGGACUGAGACACGGCCCAGACUCCUACGGGAGGCAGCAGUGAGGAAUAUUGGACAAUGGAUGGAAAUCUGAUCCAGCCAUGCCGCGUGCAGGAAGACGGCCCUAUGGGUUGUAAACUGCUUUUAUAUGGGAGCAAUAAGGUCUACGAGUAGACCGAUGAGAGUACCAUAUGAAUAAGCAUCGGCUAACUCCGUG